UCUGGUAAUGGGCAAAGAGACACCUCGUUGUUGCUGGCGUUCUUAUAUUGGUGCUCAACAGAUGACAGUCCUUUGUUCAUCGUAGCUUGAUGCCUGGCUUGGCAGCAAAAGCUGUUUUAUGCCUAGGACUCAUAA
ensembl:snoRNA LOC120094907 small nucleolar RNA SNORA48